AUGUGCGGUUGGGUCGUGGCCCCCCUGACAGGCCGGAGAUGGAUUCCAAACAUGCAGGGAGAAGGGCUUCUGCUGCCUCUCAUGGUUGUUUUUCUUAUCCCAAGGAGGUGUGAGAAUCGCCUUUGGGAGCAGCGCUUCCUUCUGCUCCUGCUCUGCCUGACCAAGGAUCAGUUCUCUCUCAUCCAUCAUCAGGAGUGGACUCCUUCCUGGAAACUGGGACUCACUCCUUCCUACUGGGAUGGCUGGAGGCCUGCAGGAUAUCAGGCAGGACAUCCUUUAUCAGACAAACAGGUACUUUGGGGUCUCUGGGAAGUUGAAGCAAAGUCCUUUGGUGACAAGUCUGGCCUUAGGUCAGUCUCACUUUCAAGGCUGCAUCUGGACAGUUUUCCUUUCUGAUGAUUUUGAGUGCAGUUGCCAGCACUGCUAUGUCUGUGGGACUUGCACAAGGCUUUCCUGGGAGCAGCAGAUCCUUUUCUUGGGGUUCCUCUCCAGAAACCCCCAUGUCAGCAGGAGGGUGGGACAGGCUUCAUUGAACUCAUCCAGAAAGCAGAAGGAUGACAAGAGGCCCCACAGCUGAGAGCAGAGCUGGCUCCAGCAAGGUUGCCACCAUGGUAACAAGUGACAGGACAAAAGGAGAUGUCUUCAAGUUGCUCCAGGGAAGGUUUAAAUUGGAUAUUGGAAAAAUAUUUUUUCACUGAAAGAAAGGUUGAGC
rnacentral:lncRNA from 1 species